rnacentral:rRNA from 1 species
UACGUAGGCAGCAAGCGUUGUUCGGAAUUACUGGGCGUAAAGAGUGUGUAGGCGGUGCUCUAAGUCUGUUGUGAAAUCUCCCGGCUUAACUGGGAGGGGUCAUUCGAUACUGGCGGGCUCGAGGCCGGUAGGGGGAAGCGGAAUUCCCGGUGUAGUGGUGGAAUGCGUAGAUAUCGGGAGGAACACCAGUGGCGAAGGCGGCUUCCUGGACCGGUUCUGACACUGAGGAGCGAAAGCGUGGGGAGCGAUCCGG